GGCAGCUACCGCACCAACGAACCCAAGCACCUGGAAUCCCCCAGCAGCUCCAGGCCGCUGACGGAGACCCUGAGGCGAGAGAAGAAGAACCUCCCACAAAUAGAGGAGGAGUUCAGGAGCGACUAGCAUCAGAGGACCUUUGACACAGUGGGGUUGAGUGGGAUCAGAUGCCUGGUGCUCUACAUAGUAUGUAUUUUGGUGAGGCUUAAAAGUUCACAUCAAGCCGUUGCGUGAGUAGCCAACAAGUCUCACACUGUAUUGCAGGGUGAAAUACUGAAGUGCCUCAUGUGAGCAAGCUUGAUCUGAAGUCACAUUAUAGCUUAUUCAGAGAGAGGUUAGAUUAGACACAGGGAGAUAGGAAUUUAAGGGAUGUUCAUUUACAUUUGGAACAUUAGUUGAAUAUAAACUCUUUUAAUCAUUGAUUUUUUUCCCGAGCCACUUUCAAGAUGCUUAAAAAAAAGAUCUUACUGUGUAGGUCAAUAGCCAUCUGACAUAAACCUUUCGAUGACAAUCUCCCAUGGAGCCCUUUUUGACAACACUGCUGGUGAUUUGUCUUGUGAUUCGAGCCGAUAGCCUAUCUGAGAAAGGGUGAGCUUAACCAGUGCUGAAUAAAACCUCAGAUCACAGACACAGAAUCUGGUGUUCCUGAAUAAAAACAUCCAACACAGGGGAGAACGCACUGACAAGCAUGGUGCUUUAAGAACCUACAUAUAGAUUGUGAAAGGUGUACACGCUUAUAUUCGUCGUAUUGCAGCCUAUAACACUGCAUUGCCUAUACAGUACGGCACAUGUGAGUGGUUCAGCAUUGCCACAGUCGCAAUAGAUAGCAACUCUGCCGAUCCCAGUAUGCUCAGACUCUGAAACACAUUCUCAGCUGUAGAGCUUCGGGAAUUAGUGUGUGAUGAAAUGUAGACAUUCGUCUAACGGGCAAUGAGGUGAUGAAGCCCAGCAGGGGGGGCGGCCUACAUAUCCAAGUUCUCAUUCCUUCUUACUUCUAGUCUUUUGUGUUAUGGUCCGGCUGCCAGUAGCUUGGUGCUAAAGAGAGUUUGACUUGCGUUCGUGUGUCACAGCAGCAGAGCUAAAGGAUCCAUCCUCCCGAAAUCCUUUUCAUCCCUCAUGAAGAGCAGCUUUCCAGAAAACAGCUGCUCCCAGUGGCCACGUGAAGAAGCACACGUAUGAACACACAUGCACACACAGCGACAUAUGUACAGAGGACCACAGGAGUGCAAAUGCUAAUCUUUUACUUCCAACUCAUACCGCUGCAAUAUGUUUGCGCAUUGCUCUAGGAGAGCUGACCAUGCCGUCACCGCGCUGCUUCCCGCUUAUUUCGGUGCUUUCAGUGGAAAGUCCCAAAUUCUACCUUUAUAGUCCAAUGGAAUAUUCUUCUCUGGCAAGGUGAAAUUUUGCUUGAUGUGUGGUGCAACCAAUGCUUCAGGCUAUCAUCGCUCACUGCAGCUCUCCUUGAUACUAAAGCCCAAUUGUGUAGGUCUAUGUGGUAAAAGUCGUAGAAGAUUUGUAACACAUUAGCUUUGCAUUUGUAGAGCAUGACCGCACUUUGCAGUAAUAUGCAAUAAUAUGAGCUUCUUUCAACCACCAACGAUGCGAGCGUUUGAUUUGCAGAUGCACAUAGCAAGUAGGAUGUAAUGAAUGUACACGUGAUUAUACAAAUAUUGUGUUUUUUUUUUAUUAUUCCUGUGAUUUCUAUACAAAACAAAUUGAAAACAGUUAAAUGGAGUGCGUUGAAUGCAAAUCCUCUGACUGUGUAAUGUAUAAGUGAACGCUACAUUGAAGCCCUGCUCAAGGGUCUUCAUUGUAGCCCGCUUAGCACUAAAGGUAAACUUAUUCAUGGUAGCUCUUCAGAAUGCUCAGGAUAAGGGAAGUACAGACCAUGUUCUCUGUAGCACUAGUACACCUCCAAAAGCUCAGCAUUGUUUGUUUCCACCACUAAAAAAUUGACAAAAGCAGUGCAAAAUUGUACAGUGAAAGGAUGUAAAAACUGCAAUCACCAUUAAGUCACUGGUUCCUAACAAUGUAUGGAAAUGAAUAGAUCCGUCCCCAAACUGUUGUGUGUUUUUAAGAGCGACACAAUGUGAAUGAAAAUGAAAAGUGAGAAAACGGAGUGAAACUGUCGAUUUGAGAUUGACACCAAGAAUAGUUUGUGCUUUUGUUAAAUAGACAAUCACCACUCAAAGUUCAUAAUGGGCGCAAGCCAACAAACUUGGGCUUAUUAUGCUUUGUCGCCUAGUAGGAAUAAGUAAACAUGCAGGAUUUAAAUGUAUGAACCUCACUGUACUCAACAGACUAUGAACAUUCAUCGCCACUCACUAGUUAAUCAUGCGUGGUCCCUGGAGCUUGUGCGUGUGUGUGUGUGUGUGACUGAAUGAAUGGUUAGAUGUUUGUGUAUUCCUGGUCGGCCCACCGAGAUACGGAUUUGAAAAAAACAACAGUCUUUUAACAAAAAUCGAUCAUGUGCACUCAUGCCAACCUUCCACCGUACUCAUUGUCGUGCACUGACCGUAGAGCGAGGCGACGGAAACGAGGCCUGCAUGUAGCUCAUAGUGGCUCUUCGGCCAUUUGCAAACUUCAUGCACGUUGAAACUUGCUGCUCGUAUCCUAUAUGAAGGAAAGGGAGUAGGAAGGCUGUCAUUAGCUCGAACUGGCUAUCUGCCCAUUUCACCAAAUGUGUAACUUUUCCAGGGCUGCUUAGUGCUUCCUGAAAUUUAGCCUAAAACUAACAAUAGACUUUAAAUACGAAAGUUGGCCAUGCGAAAAACCUCAUUUCAAUACUCAUAAAGGCCUUGAUACUUUUACAUACUUAUGUGAAUUUGCAGAUAGCCGGUGAUAGCGUAGACCCGGCAGGUCAGACCACCGUCUGCACCAUCAAACAAUAAUCCUUCUGCGACAGGUACCAGAAAUGAUUAUUACAGUUGUGUUUGUGAUCACACUGUCAUUUAGGAGAUAUUUUCUGUUUGUAAGUCGGGUUGAUUUUGUUUUGUAAUACUUCCACUGUAAAUGACCAUUACUGUGUAAAUCAAGGCAAAGCCAAACUCAAUAAAAGAAGCUUGAAG
ensembl:lncRNA